UACAGAGGUCCCGAGCGUUGUUCGGAUUCACUGGGCGUAAAGGGUGCGUAGGUGGCCAUGAAAGUUUGAUGUGAAAUCUCCGGGCUUAACCCGGAAAAUGCAUUGAAUACUCUGUGGCUGGAGGUUUGGAGGGGGGACUGGAAUUCUCGGUGUAGCAGUGAAAUGCGUAGAUAUCGAGAGGAACACCAGUGGCGAAGGCGGGUCCCUGGACAACACCUGACACUGAGGCACGAAAGCUAGGGGAGCAAACGGG
rnacentral:rRNA from 1 species